CCAAUAGCGUAUAUUAAAGUUGUUGCAGUUAAAAAGCUCGUAGUUGAAUUUCGGGGUUCUACCGUUGGUCGGGCUAUAGUCUGUACUGGCGCGUGGAAUUUCUACCUUCUGGGGAACUAUCAUGUUAUUAAUUUAGCGUGGUAGGAAACCAGAACCUUUCCCUUGAAAAAAUUAGAGUGUUCAAAGCAGGCUUACGUCUGCAUACAUGAGCAUGGAAUAAUAAAAUAGGACGGUGGUCCUGUUUUGUUGGUUUCUGAAUCACCGUAAUGAUUAAUAGGGAUAGUUGGGGGCAUUAGUAUUCAAUUGUCAGAGGUGAAAUUCUUGGAUUUAUUGAAGACUAACUUCUGCGAAAGCAUUUGCCAAGGAUGUUUUCAUUAAUCAAGAACGAAAGUUAGGGGAUCGAAGACGAUCAGAUACCGUCGUAGUCUUAACCAUAAACUAUGCCGACUAGGAAUCGGACGAUGUUAAUUUUUCUUGACUCGUUCGGCGCCUUACG
rnacentral:rRNA from 1 species